UCAAGAUAAGAUUUCCCACCGCAAGGGUAAGACCCCAGAAAGACUAUCUGGUUGAUAGGUCGAAGGUGUAAGUGCAGCAAUGUAUUUAGCUUAUCGAUACUAAUAGGUCGAGGACUUGACAAAU
rnacentral:rRNA from 1 species